rnacentral:rRNA from 1 species
GCUUGUCUCAAAGAUUAAGCCAUGCAUGUCUAAGUAUAAACAACUCUAUACUGUGAAACUGCGAAUGGCUCAUUAAAUCAGUUACAGUUUAUUUGAUAGUACCUCAUUACUUGGAUAACCGUAGUAAUUCUAGAGCUAAUACAUGCGAAAAGACCCGACUUUUUGGAAGGGUUGUAUUUAUUAGAUACAAAACCAAUGCGGAGCAAUCCGGUUUUUGGCGAGUCAUAAUAACUUUGCGGAUCGCAUGGCCUUGCGCCGGCGAUGAAUCAUUCAAAUUUCUGCCCUAUCAACUUUCGAUGGUAAGGUAUUGGCCUACCAUGGUUACCACGGGUAACGGGGAAUUAGGGUUCGGUUCCGGAGAGGGGGCCUGAGAAAUGGCCACCACAUCCAAGGAAGGCAGCAGG